rnacentral:rRNA from 1 species
UAGGGAAUAUUGGUUAAUGGGCGAAAGCCUGAACCAGCAACGCCGCGUGCACGAUGACGGCCUUCGGGUUGUAAAGUGCUUUUUGGAGGGAAGAGGAAGGACGGUACCUCCAGAAUAAGUCUCGGCUAACUACGUGCCAGCAGCCGCGGUAACACGUAGGAGACAAGCGUUAUUCGGAUUUACUGGGCGUAAAGCGCGUGCAGGCGGUCUGACAAGUUGGAUGUGAAAGCUCCUGGCUUAACUGGGAGAGGUCGUUCAAAACUAUCAGACUAGAGAGUGGUAGAGGAAGGCGGAAUUCCGGGUGUAGUGGUGAAAUGCGUAGAUAUCCGGAGGAACACCAGUGGCGAAAGCGGCCUUCUGGACCAAUUCUGACGCUCAGACGCGAAAGCUAGGGUAGCGA